rnacentral:rRNA from 1 species
UACGGAGGGUGCGAGCGUUGUCCGGAAUCACUGGGCGUAAAGGGCGGGUAGGCGGCCUGAUAAGUAGGGGGUGAAAUCCUGCGGCUUAACCGCAGGGCUGCCUUCUAAACUGUCAGGCUCGAGCACAGUAGAGGCAGGUGGAAUUCCCGGUGUAGCGGUGGAAUGCGUAGAGAUCGGGAAGAACAUCAGUGGCGAAGGCGGCCUGCUGGGCUGUUGCUGACGCUGAGGCGCGACAGCGUGGGGAGCAAACAGG